GUUAAUAGUGAAUGCGGUCAAAGCCUCCGGCGCGAUCGUCGCCCUCCAGACACGGGUCGAGAGGAAACUUGGCGUUCUUGAGCGCUUGCUCCAGAGGAGCCCUGCCGAGUCAGAAUCUUGAUUUGUGGAUGAAAAGCAAACUCCAGUUUGUCAAAGAGCCUGAGUUCAGAUGUCACAAUAAACUGAGGUUGGAUUGAAGAUUUCCUGAACCAGAAUAUUUUCGGUCUCAUCUCUGAACAUGUGGAAAGAGCAAAGGGGAGUGCACAAACCCAAGAAUAACUAGGUUUAUCUGUCAUGUCUGAAUUAGAGAUGGGCACGAACAGCAAUACGAACAAAAAAAAGCCAUGAACAGCCCAAUCUGCUAUUCGCGAACAAGCUGUUCGUGAGGCCCCAUUCUAAAUGAACAGGUAAUUGUUGCAAGCCUUGUUCCUUGGUGUUCGUUAAACCAGACAGUCUGGCACCUGCAAUCAAUUCCCUUGGCAACUUAGGCAGGAAUUGUCUGAACUCUGUCUGAACUCCUGCUGUUGUCCUGGAAACCCUAAUCUAAGCCCAAUUUAGCUUGAUACACAGGUCUUCCUUUCAAGUGUGGAACUCCAAAUUUGUUACAAGGGAGACUCUGGUUUGCAGACAGUGGAGAGGCAGUUGCUGUUGGCAUUUUGAUAGAGAGAGUGCAUUGGAGCUUGAAUUUUCUUUGUGUGUGGUGGGAUAGGGAUCUACCCCUUCAAGUUCCAGGGCUGCUGCCAGGCUCUGGGCCAAGCUAUUAUUUAUUAUUGGUACCUUUCCUGCUGCCUGCUCAGGUCAGGUUUCUGGGAGUGGUGCAGUAGGGAUCUUGACUUGGAUGAUGGCUGGAGGAGAGCCUGCUGGCUCCCACGAACUUGUUCGUGAACAGGGCCAUGUUCAUGGUUGUUCGUGAGUCCCUGUUUGUGGAUGGCAACGAACAA